rnacentral:rRNA from 1 species
AUGCCAAGGCCACACAAGUGGAUCCCGCCGGAAGACGAUGCAGUGAAGAUCAAUGUAGACGGUGCCAUCUCCCGCCAAGGAGGAACUGGUGCAGCGGCUGCUGUUUGUCGGGAUAAGGAGGGCAACUAUUUGGGAGCCUCGGCGAUGGUUUUAGAUGGCCUAGUCAGCGCCCCAAGCCUGGAAGCUCAAGCGUGCAAUGAGGCGCUUGCUUUGGCUCAAGACCUUCUCUUGACACAUGUGAUAAUAGCCUCGGAUUGCAUGCAGGUUGUUGCGGAUAUCAACGGAACUUCGCCCUCUUCUUCAUAUGCUUUUGUAAUUCAGGAGAUUAAAGCUCGAGCCAUGAACUUUGCUAGAGUUAGUUUUCGUUUUGAAAGUAGAGAGGCAAACUAUGAGGCUCAUGCCUUGGCAAAGGCAGCCUCGUCUCUCUCUACGGGGCGCCACGUGUGGCUAGGGAACCUGCCAGACAUUAUUUGUAUUCCUUCGGCUUUGGUUUAUCAAUAA